rnacentral:rRNA from 1 species
UACGGAGGGGGCCAGCGUUGUCCGAAGUUACUGGGCGUAAAGCGCGCGUAGGCGGGUGCCUAAGUCUGCUGUGAAAGCCCGAAGCUCAACUUCGGAGGGUCGGUGGAUACUGGGCGCCUUGAAGGGACUAGGGAGAAGUGGAAUGACCGGUGUAGCGGUGAAAUGCGUAGAGCUCGGUCGGAACACCAGUGGCGAAGGCGGCUUCUUGGGGUCCUCUUGACGCUGAGGCGCGAAAGCUGGGGGAGCGAACGGG